rfam:Eubacterium sp. CAG:252 genomic scaffold, scf111
CUUGAAAGUCGGUUGAGCUAUUUCUUAUACUUUCCAUCUAAAACCAGAUAGGCGGGUACAAGGAUGUACCUGCCAGUGAGACCGCGCCAAGGACGGCGCGUUCGAACGGUAUCGUCCAAUAACAAAGCAUCUAUGGAAAGUAUUAGAAAUAACCAACCAACUUUCUGG